CUUUGGCUGGGUGGUUAAGGUGUGUGCCUGCCAAGUACAUGGGGUUUCCCUGCGAGAGUUCAAAUCUCUCAGG
rfam:Nicotiana attenuata strain TT chromosome 1, whole genome shotgun sequence.